UACGAAGGGGGCUAGCGUUGCUCGGAAUUACUGGGCGUAAAGGGCGCGUAGGCGGCCAGCUUAGUCAGAGGUGAAAGCCCAGGGCUCAACCUUGGAAUUGCCUUUGAUACUGGCUAUCUUGAGUUCGGGAGAGGUGAGUGGAAUGCCGAGUGUAGAGGUGAAAUUCGUAGAUAUUGGGAAGAACACCGGUGGCGAAGGCGGCUCACUGGCUCGUAUCUGACGCUCAGGCGCGACAGCGUGGGGAUCAAACAGG
rnacentral:rRNA from 1 species